GCCAGGCACGGUGGCCCAUGCCUGUAAUCCCAGCACUUUGGGAGGCUGAGGUGGGUGGAUCGCCUGAGGUCGGGAGUUUGUAGACCAGCCUGACCAACAUGGUGAAACCCCAUCUCUA
rnacentral:SRP_RNA from 2 species